rnacentral:rRNA from 1 species
GACGAACGCUGGCGGCGUGCUUAACACAUGCAAGUCGAACGGAAAGGCCCUGCUUUUGUGGGGUGCUCGAGUGGCGAACGGGUGAGUAACACGUGAGUAACCUGCCCUUGACUUUGGGAUAACUUCAGGAAACUGGGGCUAAUACCGGAUAGGAGCUCCUGCUGCAUGGUGGGGGUUGGAAAGUUUCGGCGGUUGGGGAUGGACUCGCGGCUUAUCAGCUUGUUGGUGGGGUAGUGGCUUACCAAGGCUUUGACGGGUAGCCGGCCUGAGAGGGUGACCGGGCACAUUGGGACUGGGAUACGGGCCAGACUCCUACGGGAGGCAGCAGUGGGGAAUAUUGCACAAUGGGCGGAAGCCUGAUGCAGCAACGCCGCGUGCGGGAUGACGGCCUUCGGGUUGGAAACCGCUUUCGCCUGUGACGAAGCGUGAGUGACGGUAAUGGGUAAAGAAGCACCGGCUAACUACGUG